GCCCUAGUACGGCGAGCGAAGCGGCAAAAGCUCAAAUUUGAAAUCUGGCGUCAUUUCUGGCGUCCGAGUUGUAAUUUGAAGAUGGCAACUUUGGUAGCGGCUCUUGCGUAUGUUCCUUGGAAUAGGACGUCACAGAGGGUGAGAACCCCGUACGUAGUGAGAUCACCGCUGCUAUGUAAAGUGCUUUCGAAGAGUCGAGUUGUUUGGGAAUGCAGCUCUAAGUGGGUGGUAAAUUCCAUCUAAGGCUAAAUAUAGGCGAGAGACCGAUAGCGAACAAGUACAGUGAUGGAAAGAUGAAAAGAACUUUGAAAAGAGAGUGAAAAAGUACGUGAAAUUGUUGAAAGGGAAGGGCUUGAAAUCAGACUUGAUUUGUUAGUGAUCAACUGUCUCUCGGGACUGUGCACUCGCUACUUAUCAGGCCAACAUCAGUUUUGGCGGUAGGAAAAUGGUAAAGGAAUGUGGCUCUGCUUCGGUAGAGUGUUAUAACCUUUGCUGAUACUACCAGCUGGGACUGAGGACUGCGCUUUUAGCUAGGAUGUUGGCGUAAUGAUUUUAAGCCACCCGUCUUAAANNNCGGACCCAAAAAGAG
rnacentral:sRNA from 1 species